AGAACGAACGCUGGCGGCAUGCCUAACACAUGCAAGUCGAACGCGUGUAGCGAUACACGAGUGGCGGACGGGUGAGUAACGCGUGGGAACCUGCCCUGGAGUGUGGGAUAACCGAGGGAAACUUCGGCUAAUACCGCAUACGACCUGAGGGUGAAAGAUUUAUCGCUCUAGGAGGGGCCCGCGUCGGAUUAGCUAGUUGGUGGGGUAAAGGCCUACCAAGGCAGUGAUCCGUAGCUGGUCUGAGAGGAUGAUCAGCCACACUGGGACUGAGACACGGCCCAGACUCCUACGGGAGGCAGCAGUGGGGAAUAUUGGACAAUGGGGGCAACCCUGAUCCAGCAAUGCCGCGUGAGUGAUGAAGGCCUUAGGGUUGUAAAGCUCUUUCGCGCGCGACGAUGAUGACGGUAGCGCGAGAAGAAGCCCCGGCUAACUUCGCGCCAGCAGCCGC
rnacentral:rRNA from 1 species